AAGAACCUUCCUUCUCCAUGUAAUAUUUUGUUUGGUGACACACCAUAGCCACUACACAACAAAACACCUUUGAGACAACACUUUCCUUAUCAUGAAAUGAGAUACGACAAUAGCUGCCACCACAAAAAGAGGAUCCUGGAAAAUGAGGCUUUUCACUCUCACCCCACUUUAUGAUUUUUCAUUUUUCAUAAACCAACGGAUACUUCCCUCAUCUA
rnacentral:lncRNA from 1 species